CAAAAUGUUGUUGAGAUGCUUCAGGACUACAAGAAGCUACUGGAGCAAAAGAUCAAUGCCGUCUUAAGGAGUUAAGGGAACAAUUAAAAGAACUUACCAAGCAGUAUGAAAAGUCUGAAAAUGAUCUGAAGGCCCUACAAAGUGUUGGGCAGACUGUGAAGCUUAAUUGCUUAAGCAAUUAACUGAAGAAAAACUCACCGUUAAAGCUACACAUGGACCAAGACAUGUUGUGGGUUGCGGCAGACAGCUUGACAAAAGCAAGCUGAAGCCAAGAACAAAAGCUGCUUUGGAUAUGACUACGCUAUCAUGAGAUAUUUGCUAAGGGAGGUGGAUCCACUGGUUUACAACAUGUCUCAUGAGGACCCUGGGAAUGUUUCUUAUUCUGAGACUGGAGGACUGUAAGAACAGACUGUGGCCGGGCGCGAACAGACUGUGAUAGAAUUACCUCUUACAAACCCAGAAUUACUCCAGUGUGUAGGAAUAAUAAUUCUAAAAAGCUAUUUAUUAUGUGGACCACCAGGUACAGGAAAAACACUCUUGGCACAAGCUGUUGCUAGCCAGCUGGACUGUAAUUUCUUAACGGUUAUAUCUAGUUCUAUUGUAGACAAGUACAUUGGUGAAAGUGCUCAUUUGAUGAGAGAAAUGUUUAAUUAUGCCAGGGACCCUCAGCCAUGCAUCAUUUUUUGGAUAAAACAGACACUAUUUUUAGCAUUUCAGUCGGUUUUCUGAAGGUAGUUCAGCUCACAGACAUUCAGAGAACUUUAAUAGAGUUACUGAAUGAAAUGGAUGGAUUUGAUACUCUGCAUAGUUAAAAUGACCAUGGCUACAAACAUACCUGGAUCUUGCUUUGCUGUGUCCAGGAAGAUUAGAUAGAAAAAAACAUACUGAUUUGCCAAAUGAACAAGCAAGACUAGACAUAUUGAAAAUCCAUGCAGGUCCUAUUACAAAGCAUGGUAAAAUAGAUUAUGAAGCAACUGUGAAGCUUUCAGAUGGCUUUAAUGGAGCAGAUCUGAGAAAUGUUUGUACUGAAGCAGGUAUGUUUGCAAUUCAUGCUGAUCAUGAUUUUGUAGUACAGGAAGACUUCAUGAAAGCAGUCAGAGAAGUGGCUGAUUCUAAGAAGCUAGAGUCUACAUUGGACUACAAUCCUGUGUAAUUUACUGUAAGGUUUUUGAUGGAUGCAUGACAGACAUUGGCUUAAUAUAAAAAUGAAGGUAA